rnacentral:rRNA from 1 species
CAGUCGCCACGGUAAUACGUAGGUGGCAAGCGUUGUCCGGAAUUAUUGGGCGUAAAGGGCUCGCAGGCGGUUUCUUAAGUCUGAUGUGAAAGCCCCCGGCUCAACCGGGGAGGGUCAUUGGAAACUGGGAAACUUGAGUGCAGAAGAGGGGAGUGGAAUUCCACGUGUAGCGGUGAAAUGCGUAGAGAUGUGGAGGAACACCAGUGGCGAAGGCGACUCUCUGGUCUGUAACUGACGCUGAGGAGCGAAAGCGUGGGGAGCGAACAGGAUUAGAUACCCCAGUAGUCCCUGUCUCUUAUAC